UUCCAAGAUUUUCAACUUUGA
rnacentral:piRNA from 1 species